CUGGCCUACGCUGAGUUCCUUUUCACGUUUUACUGAGGCGUCUUCUCUUUUGUGGUUUCCAGGUUUUACUCCCAACACAGAUGGAGACCUCUGGUUUACUGAAGAGGCAGGUCUCUGCUGAGUUUCAUGGAAAGACAUGGUUCUCCGUCUCUUGCCUCCUCCCGUUGCCUGGAUGCUUGGGUUCCAUUUUGAUCAGAUAUGCCCUGCGACUUCAGCCCAUUUGUUUCCCCUUGGAGGAGCCAGACAAGAUUCUCGUUUAUUCACUUGUAAUCAGCUACUGCCAUCGCAAAGAGUCACACAGAGCGCGGGAAGCCUGCUGCUAUGUCAUGAGGACACUCAACAACCCUAUGAAGAGGACCGUGUGGCAUAGAAGAUGCCUCCUACCAACAAUCAACACUAACUUACUAGGUCUCUGAGUAAGUCAAACUGGAAGCAAUUCUCCAGCCCUAGUCAUGCUUUUGGACAACUGCAGCCCCAGUCAGCAUCUUCACAGACACCUCAUGAGAGACCCUGAAUCAGAACCAUCUAGCUCAGUCGCUCUUGAACAUUGCACCACAGAAAUAGUGUGAAAUAAUAAAUGUGUACUGUUGUUUUGGCUGUCAUGCAGCAAAUGUAUAACCAAUAUUACAACAAAACCUAAAACUCUUCCUGUGUUUUCUUCCUCGGACGUGUACACCACAAUCCAAUUUCAACAAAUCAUGCAGGAAUAAUGAGGAUCUGGUUUAAGGUAGUGGGAACAGAUGUGGCAAGAGCUGAGUGGACUACAUAGACAUUAAGGAAGCAUUUGAUAGACUUGGUGCACAAGGUAGAGAGUAAGAGAGUGAGAGGAGUUUAGGAUGAGGGGUUUGUUCACUUGGUUUUAUGUUUUGCUGAGCUCAGUUCCAAAAGGAAUGGAAGAAAAAUUCAGUCAAAUAACAUUUAAUGAGUUAGGACUUUUUUCAUCCAUCAGUUUGUACAAUUUCUUCAUAAAAAUCAGAUUUUAAACAUUGUGAUUGAAGAGAAAAAAUGGCCAGAGGAGGCUACCUUU
rnacentral:lncRNA from 1 species